rnacentral:lncRNA from 1 species
ACUAACCAUCCUUGGAGCCUGAACAGCCAGUGCCUCAUUCUUCCCAUUUGUAAAACUGGGAGAAAAUUAUAAUAUUUGCCUUAGGGGUUACUAGCAAGAAUUAAAAAGUUUAUACAUGUAAAGUGCUUAAAAUAAUGCCUGGUAUAUAAUUUCAAUAAAGAAUGCCUGUCAUUAAAUACCCACCAUUUGCUUCAACGUGGAUGGAACUGGAGGGUAUAACGCUGAGUGAACCCCAGCUUCCAGGAUUUGGGGUGACUACAGUCCAGCUAGCUGUUGUCUGAGGCUCUUGCAUGCUGCCUGCCGACAAUCCUGUCUCUGAAGAACGACAUGACAAUGAGGAAGAGGACUUUUCCAGACUGAAUCUACCACCACUCAUAAUAUGGGUUCAUCUCAGUAUAAUGAUCACUUCUCUGUCUCCCUCCCCCAAUCUUUGUCUUCUCCCAGUUUCUUCUUCAAUAAACAUUGCUACUCU